GAAAUUUGAUGUCUGCGGUGCCCACGUUCAUCCGCCACCAGAGGAAGGGCAGGAAAUCACGUUUCCAAGCGAUCUGACAGCACCACAGAAUCUGACCAAGCCAUGACAACAUGCCAAGAAUGGACUGAAUCAGAAGACCAAGAAGGUCAGCAAGGCGGCGCGCAGAGGAGAAAGACACCUCUGCUGAGAGGUACACAAGCACCAAACUGCUGAGAGGGAAACCAGGUCCUGAGGAGGGUAAUUACAUAUUCUGGACAGUUGAUUUCAGUGAGGCAUUAGACCCUUG
rnacentral:lncRNA from 1 species